ensembl:lncRNA
GAUGCCAUCUUCAUCCCUGAAACGGUUUUCAUCCUGGAGGAGACUGUGUAGGAGGCAGAGGAGGAAAGAACAGUUAGAACAGCAUGCCAAACUGACACUUGGGUGCCUGAGUGUUCCUGUGCUGUGGGUGGAGAAGUGGUCCACAUCACUAAAGAGCUCGGGCCCAGAUAGAUUACGCUCACGACCAUCAGUAUACAACCCCUAUACGCCACAGAUGGAGCUGACGGAGAGUGAGAUCAGUGAAGACCCUAACUCCCUGUAUGAACCUGAGAGCUCAGAAUCACAAUCAUCACAGUGCGAGCCAAGAUACACUAUCGAUCACUUUGGGGUACCGGGAUGGCGUUCUGAAAAUGGGAAAGGAGCAUGCCAUUCAACAGCCAAUUCAAAGAUACACCCAUUCAUAAAGGGAAUCAGAGUGGAAUAGUUUUUCCGUAGAUUUUUUCUUUUUAAAAACCCUUUUCUAUGGAUGUACAACCUUGUCCCGGUCCUGCUGUUUCAACUCUCUUCCAACCUUUGAAUGCUCAGCUAUGAAAAGCCAACUGACAUUUACUCCUGAGGCGUUGAACUGUUGCACCCUCUAUAAUGUUGAUGUAAAAUGGGCUUUUGUAAAAGAAUAUAUAUGUAAAAAAAAAUAUUUGAUUGAUUGUCUGCUGUGCUUGAUGCUGUGUACUAACUGUCUGAGUGCUGGGACAUUUUAAUAGUAUCUGUAAUGUAUUUUGGUGUGUAUUUAAUCUGCAUCUUAACUUCAUAAAGUAGCAAUCCGCAGUAGAAACAAUAACAACGUGUCUCCCUACUCCUCUUUCGGUAAAAAGCUGAGGGAUGGGUCUGGAGAAAUGUAAGCUCUGUCAAAUGCAUAGACAGAGCUAUAGAUGCAAGGACUGACCAUCCAUGAUAUCAAAAUUGUAAUCCUGUUUCUAUGAUCUGUUUCCACUACCAUCUACCCAGUUCGCUUUGGAUAAAGGCGUCUGCUAAAUGGCAUAUAUUAUUAAAGUCUACUUUGAUUAGUGUGCACUGAAAGUAGUUUUAUCUUCAAAACAAGUGUAUCUGGUUACGCUUGAACCUGUUAUAGUGGACAAGCUAACAAAUACUAUUUUUACAUAAGGUGCAGGCAUUAGGUCUAUGUAGGCAUUAGGUCUAUGUCUUUAGGCUAGAUUUACUAAAUUAACUUAUUUUAUUCAAACGUUUAUUCAAUGGCUUUGCUUCUGGCUAUGCGCGCCUUAUGGAAGAAACGACACACGCAGGGAUGAGAUACCGUACACCUCGUCCAAUUCUCUCUUGUACCCAUAGGGUAAACUGGCGAUAAACUGCCAGCAUGUACGCUCUGCAAACAAAAGCAUGAGAAAAGUUCGCCUGAAUCCGAAACUAAAUCACAAUGUAUUUAUAAUGAGCACGCCCCAUUAUUGGUUAGAAUGAGAUUUCAUGAAUCAUGAUACUGUCUGCGAUUCGGACUCGGGUCGUUUAAUCAAACGUUACAAGUGUUACUAACGCGCCAAACAGCGCUGAUGAUAAACACCUACCCACUACUGAUAUUAAACCUUAAACAAUUUAUAAUCAAGCUAAAUUUGACAAAUUAUUUAACUGGUAUCUCGGCUGCUGACUGGUCGAGUAACCUAUUAUUUUGUAUUUGUUGUGUUCAAAAUUUAAAAAAAUUAAAACAAAAUAUAUAUAUAUAUUUUUUUUAAUGUUGUGUAUUUUUAAAAUUUUAUUUUAUUUCUUUAUAUAUAAAAAAUACAUCUGCAAGGAAGUCCUUGAUAAGAAUUAGUGGCAAGUCCAAGAAAUACAUUGCCAUCCAGACAGACUGACAGGAGCCUAUACCAUCUGGACAAGACGAAUACCUAUGUAAGAAGGCUGUUCAUUGACUACAGCUCAGCAUUUAACAUCAUAGUACGCUCCAAACUGUCAUUAAGCUCGGGGCCCGGGUGUGUUCUCAGCCCUCUCCUGUACUCCCUGUUCACCCAUGACUGCGUGGCCAUGCACGCCUCCAACUCAAUCAUCAAGAUUGCAGACGACACUACAGUGGUAGGCUUGAUUACCAACAACGACGACGAGAGAGGUGUCAGGAAAAUAACCUUUCACUCAAAAUCAACAAAACAAAGGAGAUGAUCGUGGACUGCAGAGGGAGCGCUCCCCUAUCCACAAAGCUGGGACCGAGAGACUGAAAAACAGCUUCUAUCUCAAGGCCAGACUGAUAAACAGCCAUCACUAACAGCCAUCACUAACAUAGAGUGGCUGCUGCUAACAUACAGACUCAAAUCUCUUGCUACUAUAAUACAUUUAAUAAUAGAUUUAAUAAAGGUAUCACUAGUCACUUUAAAAUAACACCACUUUAAUAAUGUCUACAUAUCCUACAUUACUCAUCUCAUAUGUAUAUACUGUAUUCUAUACCAUCUACUGUAUCUUGCCUAUGCCGCAUGGCCAUCGCUCAUCCAUAUAUUUAUAUGUACAUAUUCUUAUUCAUCCCUUUACAUUUGUGUGUAUAAGGUAGUCGUUGUGAAUUUGUUAGAUAAAUUGUUAGAUAUUACUGCACUGUCGGAACUAGAAGCACAAGCGUGUCGCAACACUCGCAUUAACAUCUGCUAACCAUGUGUAUGUGACCAAUAACAUCUGCUAACCAUGUGUAUGUGACCAAUAACAUCUGCUAACCAUGUGUAUGUGACCAAUAACAUGUGAUUUGAACCUCUGACUGGAUGUAAUACAGCCAACAUCCGCUGGGAUUUUCUGCUGUAUCGCUGCCAUCUCUACAACACACACACUCAUACUCUGUCGUCUAUCACAGUGCCAUCCGUUUUGUCACCAAAGCCCCAUAUACUACCCACCACUGCGACCUGUUUGCUCUCGUUGGCUGGCCCUCGCUACAUAUUCAUCGCCAAACCCACUGGUUCCAGGUCAUCGAUAAGUCUUUGCUCGGUAAAGCCCUGCCUAGUCUCAGCUCACUGGUCACCUUAGCAACACCCACCCAUAGCAAGCACUCCAGCAGGUAUAUUUCACUGGUCAUCCCCUAAAUCAACACCUCCUUUGGCCGCCAAUCCUUACAGUUCUCUGCUGCCAAUGACUGAAACGAAUUGCAACAACCACUAAAGCUGGAGACUUAUAUCUCCUUUAACUUUGUGCAUCAGCUAUCAGAGCAGUUUACCGAUCACUGUACCUUUACACAGCCAAUCUGUAAAUAGCCCACCCAACUACCUCAUCCCCAUAUUGUUAUUUAUCUUUUUGCUCUUUUGCACCCCAGUAUCUCUACUUGCACAUCAUCAUCUGCACAUAUAUCACUCCAGUGUUAAUGCUAAAUUGUAAUUAUUUUCAUCUCUAUGGCCUAUUUAUUGCCUUACCUCCCUAAUCUUCUACAUUUGCACACACUGUACAUAGAUUUUUCUAUUGUGUUAUUGACUGUACGUUUGUUGAUGUGUAACUGUGUUGUUUUUGUUGCAGUUCUUCGCUUUAUCUUGGCCAGGUUGCAGUUGUAAAUGACAACUUGUUCUCGACUGGCCGGCCUGGUUAAAUAAAGGUGAAAUAAAGAAAACUUAAGAAACACACUCAUACCCUAGCCAUUAUCUGGCAGCUUCCCCUCACACCAGUUUGUUUGCCUACGCCGACCUCCUAGCUGAGGUGUUUCAAGCGGCAUAUGUGUUACUGCCACGACAACAAACUCUUUGAUCAGGGGCAACGAGCGGCUCAAAUAUGAACGGUUUCAGUAGGUUUAUUAACUCCCUAACAUUAUUUAAUUCUCUGUAAUAAACUCAUUCUCAGACUCAGAGCUACUUGGGAAAUUCAACCAUUUUUGGGGAGUUCCAAAAUGUUCUCU